rnacentral:rRNA from 1 species
CUUCUUAAGUAAAAAGGAUUAAAACAAUUUUAUUUAAACUAUUAUAAUUUUGGCGACAUUUUAUCUUUAUAGAGGAAUUUGUUUAAUAAUCGAUAUUCCCCGCUAUUUUUCACUUUUAUUCAAAUUAUAUAUACCGCCAUUUCAGAAUUAUUUAAAAAUAUAAUUUCUUAAAAUAUUUCAUAAAAAAAUAGGUCAAGGUGUAAACAAUAUAAAAGAAUAAAUGAAUUACAAUAAAUAAAAUUUCUGGAUAUAAAAAUAAAAAUUUUCGUUAAAAUCGGAUUUAUUAGUAAAAUCUUAAUAAUAUUUAAAUUUGAAAAAUCUUUAAAAUAUGU